GCGACUGCGCGUGCUAUACUGCAGUCGACGCUUUGUCUUUAAUUGAUCUGACGAGCUUGCUCUGAUUUGAUUUUAUCUGACAAAGAGUGGCGAACGGGUGAGUAACACGUGGGUAACCUACCUCUUAGCAGGGGAUAACAUUUGGAAACAAGUGCUAAUACCGUAUAAUACCAACAACCGCAUGGUUGUUGGUUGAAAGAUGGUUCUGCUAUCACUAAGAGAUGGACCCGCGGUGCAUUAGCUAGUUGGUAAGGUAACGGCUUACCAAGGCAAUGAUGCAUAGCCGAGUUGAGAGACUGAUCGGCCACAAUGGGACUGAGACACGGCCCAUACUCCUACGGGAGGCAGCAGUAGGGAAUCUUCCACAAUGGGCGCAAGCCUGAUGGAGCAACGCCGCGUGUGUGAUGAAGGGUUUCGGCUCGUAAAACACUGUUAUAAGAGAAGAACGGCACUGAGAGUAACUGUUCAGUGUGUGACGGUAUCUUACCAGAAAGGAACGGCUAAAUACGUGCCAGCAGCCGCGGUAAUACGUAUGUUCCAAGCGUUAUCCGGAUUUAUUGGGCGUAAAGCGAGCGCAGACGGUUAUUUAAGUCUGAAGUGAAAGCCCUCAGCUCAACUGAGGAAUGGCUUUGGAAACUGGAUGACUUGAGUGCAGUAGAGGAAAGUGGAACUCCAUGUGUAGCGGUGAAAUGCGUAGAUAUAUGGAAGAACACCAGUGGCGAAGGCGGCUUUCUGGACUGUAACUGACGUUGAGGCUCGAAAGUGUGGGUAGCAAACAGGAUUAGAUACCCUGGUAGUCCACACCGUAAACGAUGAGUGCUAGAUGUUCGAGGGUUUCCGCCCUUGAGUGUCGCAGCUAACGCAUUAAGCACUCCGCCUGGGGGAGUACGACCGCAAGGUUGAAACUCAAAGGAAUUGACGGGGACCCGCACAAGCGGUGGAGCAUGUGGUUUAAUUCGAAGCAACGCGAAGAACCUUACCAGGUCUUGACAUCCCUUGCUAAUCCUAGAAAAUAGGACGUUCCCUUCGGGGACAAGGUGACAGGUGGUGCAAGGGUUGCCCUCACCUCCGGUCCUGGAAAUUUUGGGUUAAAUCCCCCAACCAAGCGCAACCCUUAUUAUAUAUUUGCCACCAUUUUAUUUGGGGCCUCUUAUGGGAAAUGCCGGUGACAAACCCGAAGAAAAAGGGGGGGGAUAACCCCCAAAUCUUUUGGCCCCUUUAAAACCGGGGGGUAAACACCGGGUCCAAAGGGGGUUUUUC
rnacentral:rRNA from 1 species